UACCAGCACCCCGAGUGGUCGGGACGUUUAUUGGGCCUAAAGCAUCCGUAGCCGGUUCUACAAGUCUUCCGUUAAAUCCAACUGCUUAACAGGUGGGCUGCGGAAGAUACUAUAGAGCUAGGAGGCGGGAGAGGCAAGCGGUACUCGAUGGGUAGGGGUAAAAUCCGUUGAUCCAUUGAAGACCACCAGUGGCGAAGGCGG
rnacentral:rRNA from 1 species